UUCCUGAUGCUCUCUCCAGUCCGUAAAGCUCUCCAGCCAGGAGGCAGAGUGGCCAGCGCUGGCUGCCCACCGUAGCGCUGUGCACACCCUCUGCCCUACAACCCUGUGCUGUGCAGAGAGCUUGUGCCUUGCCCCUCCUUCUCAGAGCCAGCAAUGAAAGAGAUUGCAGUAACCCGGGUCAACCUGACUUUGAUGGCGGCCAGUCAAGAUGUGCUCCCCAUCUUUCCAUUAACUUCGAGGGGCCUGGCUGACCUGGGAACAAGCUGCUCAGCUGCAGCUGCACAUGCUGAAACAAUCCGCUCCUAAAGGGAGUGGCCAGUCAUUUCUCUUGCCAACAUUUGCUUAGUGGCCUGGCACAAUCCCCUUCCCUCUGCAUUGCACAAAAGGCUGCUCCUGAGUCCGCUUGCCCUGGGAUGCAUGCUGCAGCUUUCACAGAAGGUAUUGCCAAGUGCCCUUAGAGAGCAUAUAAUGCUGGGAAUGAGAGGAAAGGUGUCCUGGGGUGAGGCUGCCAUUCCCACAGCACUCCAUUCCAAGGCUUGUGAAUGAAGAGUUAAAAGCCAGAAGAACCCAGGCCCUGGGAAAAGAAAGGCAAAGGAGAGCCCGAGCAUGGGCAGGAGCAUGAAGAACGUCUGUGGGAUAGACACUGACAAAACAGAAGAAGAAGAAGAAGAAGAAGAAGAAGAAGAAGAAGAAGAAGAAGAAGAAGAAGAAGAAGAAGAAGAAGAAGAAGAAGAAGAAGAAGUCAGAGAGUUGGUGGCUCUGUAGGGAGAAAGGGGAACAUCUUAUAGGGUUGAAAUCGC